GGACUACAGGGGUAUCUAAUCCUGUUUGCUCCCCACGCUUUCGUAGUUGAGUGUCAGUACCUGUCCAGGUCGCCGCCUUCGCCUCUGGUGUUCCUCCCGAUCUCUACGCAUUUCACCGCUACACCGGGAAUUCCACGACCCUCUCCAGGACUCCAGUCUCGCCGUUUCUCACGCACUUCUUGGGUUAAGCCCAAGGAUUUCACAUGAGACAAACGAGACCACCUACCUACCCUUUACGCCCAAUAAUUCCGAGCAACGCUUGCACCCUCUGUAUUACCGCGGCUGCUGGCAC
rnacentral:rRNA from 1 species